rnacentral:rRNA from 1 species
UAAUACGGGGGGAGCAAGCGUUGUUCGGAUUUACUGGGCGUAAAGGGCGCGUAGGCGGCCAGCGCAAGUCAGUUGUGAAAUCUCCGGGCUUAACUCGGAACGGUCAACUGAUACUGCGCGGCUAGAGUGCAGAAGGGGCAACUGGAAUUCUCGGUGUAGCGGUGAAAUGCGUAGAUAUCGAGAGGAACACCUGCGGCGAAGGCGGGUUGCUGGGCUGACACUGACGCUGAGGCGCGAAAGCCAGGGGAGCGAACGGGAUUAGAUACCCCGGUAGUCCUGGCCUUAAACGAUGGAUGCUUGGUGUCUGGAGUUUUAUAGUCUCCGGGUGCCGUAGCUAACGCGUUAAGCAUCCCGCCUGGGGAGUACGGUCGCAAGACU